AGUAUCAUGGGAUGGAACCUUGAAACAAUCUUAGGACACCUUCUGACCCAGUGAAUGAGAAGUCAUUUAUAUUCUGAUGCUACA
rfam:Triticum urartu cultivar G1812 contig245450, whole genome shotgun sequence.